rnacentral:rRNA from 1 species
ACUGAACGCUGGCGGCAUGCUUUACACAUGCAAGUCGAACGGCAGCACGGGGGCAACCCUGGUGGCGAGUGGCGAACGGGUGAGUAAUGCAUCGGAACGUGCCCCGUCGUGGGGGAUAACACAUCGAAAGAUGUGCUAAUACCGCAUACGACCUGAGGGUGAAAGCGGGGGACCGCAAGGCCUCGCGCGAUGGGAGCGGCCGAUGUCUGAUUAGCUAGUUGGUGGGGUAAAGGCCUACCAAGGCGACGAUCAGUAGCUGGUCUGAGAGGACGACCAGCCACACUGGGACUGAGACACGGCCCAGACUCCUACGGGAGGCAGCAGUGGGGAAUUUUGGAAAAUGGGGGCAACCCUGAUCCAGCCAUGCCGCGUGCGGGAAGAAGGCCUUCGGGUUGUAAACCGCUUUUGGCAGGAACGAAACGGUGCGGGCGAAUACCCUGUGCUAAUGACGGUACCUGCAGAAUAAGCACCGGCUAACUACGUGCCAGCCGCCGCAGUAAUAC